AUGUAGGGUGCGAGCGUUAAUCGGAAUUACUGGGCGUAAAGCGUGCGCAGGCGGUCUUUUAAGACAGGUGUGAAAUCCCCGAGCUUAACUUGGGAACUGCAUUUGUGACUGCAAGGCUGGAGUGCGGCAGAGGGGGAUGGAAUUCCGCGUGUAGCAGUGAAAUGCGUAGAUAUGCGGAGGAACACCGAUGGCGAAGGCAAUCCCCUGGGCCUGCACUGACGCUCAUGCACGAAAGCGUGGGGAGCAAACAGGA
rnacentral:rRNA from 1 species